rnacentral:ncRNA from 1 species
CUUUGAACGACAUUACUGUUCAAGGCGGAAGGAG